AUUGAACGCUGGCGGCAGGCUUAACACAUGCAAGUCGAGCGAGCGGCGGACGGGUGAGUAAUGUCUGGGAAACUGCCUGAUGGAGGGGGAUAACUACUGGAAACGGUAGCUAAUCCCGCAUACCAUCAGAUGUGCCCAGAUGGGAUUAGCUAGUAGGUGGGGGAAUGGCUCACCAAGGCGAAGAUCCCUAGCUGGUCUGAGAGGAUGACCAGCCACACUGGAACUGAGACACGGCCCAGACUCCUACGGGAGGCAGCAGUGGGGAAUAUUGCACAAUGGGCGCAAGCCUGAUGCAGCCAUGCCGCGUGUGUGAAGAAGGCCUUCGGGUCGUAAAGCACUUUCGGCAGAGAAGCGGUAUCUGCAGAAUAAGCACCGGCUAACUACGUGCCAGCAGCCGCGGUAAUAC
rnacentral:rRNA from 1 species